ensembl:lncRNA
ACAGUUACCAUGAGAUCCACCCUUGGGACAAACUUCCAAGCGCACAAUACAGCGUGGUGACUGCCUGUAGAGUCCUGACAUGGCCUGGAGGCCUCUUUCUCUCCCAACUCUGUCCCCAGGACUUUAGGCGAGCUGACAGUGAGGACCCAGAGAAAAUGACACCAUGUGACCCAGCCUCCUCCAAGACUUCCGGGGCGCAGGACGGGAAACAAGAGUGAUUAAAAACUGCCAUGUAGCCCGAACAGAGUUCAGCCAGAGUUUUCAUCCAGCAUGAAAGUCAUCAGAAUCCCAGAGCCCUCACCUAGCUGGGUGCACGCACAAGUGACAGCUUCAAGAGAUUGUUUGCCGUUGAAUGGAAAACGGCCAGCCUUGAUUAGACAUUGCCGCUCUGCCCAGGGGUGGCAAUACUUCGGAGCAUCCAUGCGGUGUGAAAGGCGCCUGCUGUACUUGGCCAUCGCCCUCGAGGGCCAGCUGGGGUGCUUGAGCAAAUGAGAAGCAUCCAGAGGGAUGCCUGGCAUCUCGCGGGCUCCAUCCAUAAGGGCUAAGAGGAAGUAAAUUUAGCUUGAC